AGCGUACACGGUGGAUGCCCUGGCAGUCAGAGGCGAUGAAGGACGUGCUAAUCUGCGAUAAGCGUCGGUAAGGUGAUAUGAACCGUUAUAACCGGCGAUUUCCGAAUGGGGAAACCCAGUGUGUUUCGUCACACUAUCAUUAACUGAAUCCAUAGGUUAAUGAGGCGAACCGGGGGAACUGAAACAUCUAAGUACCCCGAGGAAAAGAAAUCAACCGAGAUUCCCCCAGUAGCGGCGAGCGAACGGGGAGCAGCCCAGAGCCUGAAUCAGUAUGUGUGUUAGUGGAAGCGUCUGGAAAGGCGCGCGAUACAGGGUGACAGCCCCGUACACAAAAAUGCACAUGCUGUGAGCUCGAUGAGUAGGGCGGGACACGUGGUAUCCUGUCUGAAUAUGGGGGGACCAUCCUCCAAGGCUAAAUACUCCUGACUGACCGAUAGUGAACCAGUACCGUGAGGGAAAGGCGAAAAGAACCCCGGCGAGGGGAGUGAAAAAGAACCUGAAACCGUGUACGUACAAGCAGUGGGAGCACGCUUAGGCGUGUGACUGCGUACCUUUUGUAUAAUGGGUCAGCGACUUAUAUUCUGUAGCAAGGUUAACCGAAUAGGGGAGCCGAAGGGAAACCGAGUCUUAACUGGGCGUUAAGUUGCAGGGUAUAGACCCGAAACCCGGUGAUCUAGCCAUGGGCAGGUUGAAGGUUGGGUAACACUAACUGGAGGACCGAACCGACUAAUGUUGAAAAAUUAGCGGAUGACUUGUGGCUGGGGGUGAAAGGCCAAUCAAACCGGGAGAUAGCUGGUUCUCCCCGAAAGCUAUUUAGGUAGCGCCUCGUGAAUUCAUCUCCGGGGGUAGAGCACUGUUUCGGCAAGGGGGUCAUCCCGACUUACCAACCCGAUGCAAACUGCGAAUACCGGAGAAUGUUAUCACGGGAGACACACGGCGGGUGCUAACGUCCGUCGUGAAGAGGGAAACAACCCAGACCGCCAGCUAAGGUCCCAAAGUCAUGGUUAAGUGGGAAACGAUGUGGGAAGGCCCAGACAGCCAGGAUGUUGGCUUAGAAGCAGCCAUCAUUUAAAGAAAGCGUAAUAGCUCACUGGUCGAGUCGGCCUGCGCGGAAGAUGUAACGGGGCUAAACCAUGCACCGAAGCUGCGGCAGCGACGCUGAUGCGUUGUUGGGUAGGGGAGCGUUCUGUAAGCCUGCGAAGGUGUGCUGUGAGGCAUGCUGGAGGUAUCAGAAGUGCGAAUGCUGACAUAAGUAACGAUAAAGCGGGUGAAAAGCCCGCUCGCCGGAAGACCAAGGGUUCCUGUCCAACGUUAAUCGGGGCAGGGUGAGUCGACCCCUAAGGCGAGGCCGAAAGGCGUAGUCGAUGGGAAACAGGUUAAUAUUCCUGUACUUGGUGUUACUGCGAAGGGGGGACGGAGAAGGCUAUGUUGGCCGGGCGACGGUUGUCCCGGUUUAAGCGUGUAGGCUGGUUUUCCAGGCAAAUCCGGAAAAUCAAGGCUGAGGCGUGAUGACGAGGCACUACGGUGCUGAAGCAACAAAUGCCCUGCUUCCAGGAAAAGCCUCUAAGCAUCAGGUAACAUCAAAUCGUACCCCAAACCGACACAGGUGGUCAGGUAGAGAAUACCAAGGCGCUUGAGAGAACUCGGGUGAAGGAACUAGGCAAAAUGGUGCCGUAACUUCGGGAGAAGGCACGCUGAUAUGUAGGUGAAGUCCCUCGCGGAUGGAGCUGAAAUCAGUCGAAGAUACCAGCUGGCUGCAACUGUUUAUUAAAAACACAGCACUGUGCAAACACGAAAGUGGACGUAUACGGUGUGACGCCUGCCCGGUGCCGGAAGGUUAAUUGAUGGGGUCAGCGCAAGCGAAGCUCUUGAUCGAAGCCCCGGUAAACGGCGGCCGUAACUAUAACGGUCCUAAGGUAGCGAAAUUCCUUGUCGGGUAAGUUCCGACCUGCACGAAUGGCGUAAUGAUGGCCAGGCUGUCUCCACCCGAGACUCAGUGAAAUUGAACUCGCUGUGAAGAUGCAGUGUACCCGCGGCAAGACGGAAAGACCCCGUGAACCUUUACUAUAGCUUGACACUGAACAUUGAGCCUUGAUGUGUAGGAUAGGUGGGAGGCUUUGAAGUGUGGACGCCAGUCUGCAUGGAGCCGACCUUGAAAUACCACCCUUUAAUGUUUGAUGUUCUAACGUUGACCCGUAAUCCGGGUUGCGGACAGUGUCUGGUGGGUAGUUUGACUGGGGCGGUCUCCUCCUAAAGAGUAACGGAGGAGCACGAAGGUUGGCUAAUCCUGGUCGGACAUCAGGAGGUUAGUGCAAUGGCAUAAGCCAGCUUGACUGCGAGCGUGACGGCGCGAGCAGGUGCGAAAGCAGGUCAUAGUGAUCCGGUGGUUCUGAAUGGAAGGGCCAUCGCUCAACGGAUAAAAGGUACUCCGGGGAUAACAGGCUGAUACCGCCCAAGAGUUCAUAUCGACGGCGGUGUUUGGCACCUCGAUGUCGGCUCAUCACAUCCUGGGGCUGAAGUAGGUCCCAAGGGUAUGGCUGUUCGCCAUUUAAAGUGGUACGCGAGCUGGGUUUAGAACGUCGUGAGACAGUUCGGUCCCUAUCUGCCGUGGGCGCUGGAGAACUGAGGGGGGCUGCUCCUAGUACGAGAGGACCGGAGUGGACGCAUCACUGGUGUUCGGGUUGUCAUGCCAAUGGCACUGCCCGGUAGCUAAAUGCGGAAGAGAUAAGUGCUGAAAGCAUCUAAGCACGAAACUUGCCCCGAGAUGAGUUCUCCCUGACUCCUUGA
rnacentral:rRNA from 1 species